rnacentral:lncRNA from 10 species
GGCGACAGUCACAAGUACAAGGCCUUGCUGAAAAGAACAUCUGUUGAGUCUUCCUGAAGAUAUUCUUAUUAAAUAGACUCUAUCCCUUGCUGGCUUUGCUCAACUGCCAUAUGGAGAGGCCCAUCUGGCAAGAAACUGAGGGCAGCCUCCUGUCAACAAGUGGUCAGGAACUGAGGUCCUCUGUGCAACAACCCAGGAGGACCAGAAUCCCAUCAACAACCACAUCAGCUUGGAAGCAUAUCCUUUCCCAUCUGAAUCUUCAAAUUAGACCCCAGUGCUAAAUUGUGCUUUGAUUGUAGCCUUUUGAAAGACCCUGAAGCAGAAGAUCCAGCUUAGCCAUGCCUAGAUUCCUGACCUACAGUAUCUACAAAAUAAUGUGUAUUCUGUUAAGCCACUAAGUUUGUGGUAACUUGUUAGGUAUCAAUAGAUAAUUAAUGUGAUUACCA